rnacentral:rRNA from 1 species
UACGAAGGGUGCUAGCGUUGCUCGGAAUUACUGGGCGUAAAGCGCACGUAGGCGGAUCCUUAAGUCGGUGGUGAAAUCCUGAAGCUCAACUUCAGAACUGCCUUCGAUACUGGGGACCUUGAGUUCGGGAGAGGCGAGUGGAACUGCGAGUGUAGAGGUGAAAUUCGUAGAUAUUCGCAAGAACACCAGUGGCGAAGGCGGCUCACUGGCCCGAUACUGACGCUGAGGUGCGAAAGCGUGGGGAGCAAACAGG